UGGUGCAGUGCUGUGUUUUUGACUUUGGCCUGAGAACAAUGCUGAUAACACACCGAUGUUUUUAGUUGUUGCUAAUGCUUACCCCAGUCAAGGACUUUUAAUUCUGAAGGACAUUUCAGUCUCAUGCUCUGCC